GACAGGACUGGAACUAUUUCUGCAGCUUCUGGGAGCCUGAUGCUAAGCAAUGUGACAACAUAAAUCUGAAAACAUUAUUACUGUUGGAAACAACUGGAAAAAUUUCUCAGGGGACAUAUUUUCACUUAUUCACACCUUCUACCGUGGCAAAAAUGGACUAUUUUCCUCACCGAAAACCAGCAGUAUAAUGCCCAUCUGAUACAUGCCUCAAGGAACUCUUAUUUAAAAUCUGUUGAAAAUGGAUGUCUUGUAGCCUACCAACAAAUCCUGCUACUGCUGCAUGUGUGGCAGCACUUCUACAUGAUCACAUGACUCUUGAUAUGGACGCGGUCCUGUCAGACUUUGUUCGGUCCACAGGGGCAGAACCAGGUCUGGCAAGAGAC